UUGCCCAUCGGGGCCUCGGAUACCUGCUUUAUUAUU
rnacentral:ncRNA from 1 species